AACGAACGCUGGCGGCGCGCCUAAUACAUGCAAGUCGAACGAGAAUGUGUAGCAAUACACAUGUACAGUGGCGAACGGGUGAGGAAUACAUGGGUAACCUACCCUCGAGUGGGGAAUAACUAGCCGAAAGGUUAGCUAAUACCGCGUACGCUUCCUGGACUGCGGUUCGGGAAGGAAAGCGAUACCGUGGGUAUCGCGCUCUUGGAUGGGCUCAUGCCCUAUCAGCCUGUUGGUGAGGUAACGGCUCACCAAGGCAUCGACGGGUAGCUGAUCUGAGAGGAUGAUCGGCAACACUGGCACUGCGACACGGGCCAGACUCCUACGGGAGGCAGCAGUAAGGAAUAUUGCGCAAUGGGCGAAAGCCUGACGCAGCGACGCCGCGUGGGGGAUGAAGGUCUUCGGAUUGUAAACCCCUUUCGGGAGGGAAGAUGGAACGAGCAAUCGUUCGGACGGUACCUCCAGAAGCAGCCACGGCUAACUUCGUGCCAGCAGCCGCGGUAAUAC
rnacentral:rRNA from 1 species